GCUUACGGCCAUACCAACCUGAAAACCCCCGAUCUUGUCUGAUCUCGGAAGCUAAGCAGGGUCGGGCCUGGUUAGUACUUGGAUGGGAGACCGCCUGGGAAUACCAGGUGCUGUAAGCU
rnacentral:rRNA from 1 species